rnacentral:rRNA from 1 species
AGCUCCAAUAGCGUAUAUUAAAGUUGUUGCAGUUAAAAAGCUCGUAGUUGGAUUUUGGAGUGUAUUGGAGGCGGUCCACAGAAAUUGUGAGUAUCGUGCUUAUAUUUCCUUCCUUUACAAUGACCGCCCUCUAGCAAUAGGGGAUACGGCUUGUAAUCGUUUUACUUUGAGAAAAUUAGAGUGUUCAAAGCAGGCGUAACCCAGCCUUGAAUACGUUAGCAUGGGAUAAUAAAACAGGACUUUGAGUUCUAUUU